ensembl:lncRNA
GCAAAGUUGGUGUUACCCAGACAGACAAUCACUUUUUUUUCUACAAAUGUAUUUUUAUUCUGUUCCUCCCCCGUUGUCAAUAAACAAGUUUAUCAUGUUUGUAUAGAAUGCGGGUGCAUUCCGUUCUGUUGGUUACCAAGACAAACACAGUACUGAAGAAUCCCUCAAAGCAUCCCUGGUUUGGAUGAAAGCCCGGGAACAGAAGAGCUCAUCCUCAAGAGCACUAUCAGAUCUCAGCCUCUAUGGUAUUUAAAAGGGCUUGGAAAAUUUGUUUGAGAAAAUACCAAGGAUGUGAAAACAACAAAGUGAAAAAUAAAAUCUUUAUCUAGCACAAGCACAUUGAGGGACCGGACUUGAGCUGAUGUGAAGAAAACUUCACCUCCGAAGCACAGAGUGUAUUUUGGUUCUGUUGCACAACCUGUUGUGCUCCACAAGACCACGUCUGUCCAUGGCUGCAGUGUUUGUUAAUGCAGGUUUUUCUUGUUCUCUUAUAAGGAAGCUGUCACAGCUGGGCCCUCAUCUUGACUUACUUCGUCUAAGUUCUACCAUGAGAAUUUUCUCUGUGAACCAGAAAAGAACUGAGCUGCAAGGAACUGACAGAGAUGAAUUCUUAGAGAUAAAAAGAGGUAAUAUACAAACAGGGCAAAUAGCAGAAUAUAGGCUAAUCAGCAGCUAAUCCUUCCACCCACUCCCACAUCUCACUAGCAGGUCUUCAGAUUGCUGCAACAAUAAGAAAAAAAAGUGUAUUUAUAUAUGUGUGUGUAUAUAUAUAUAUAUUUAUGUGUAAAUGUAUAUCUGUGAGUGAAACCUGUUUAAGCUGAGAGUCUCUGUGGACAAGGAGGUGGCACCAGACCUAUUUUCUGAUGUUUGCCACUUCAGAUAGUGUUGCCUGUUCUUUUCUCUGGUUGAUGCUUCCUAUCCACCCUGUAGUUUGUUGUCUGAGAGCACUAACAGUCCUCCAAUACUUUGUUUGACCUUUGUUUUCUGAAAAGGAAGCUCAUUUCUGGGGAGCCAACAGCAAAUACUUCUGUAAUCUAAAUAAUUCUUUUCCAUGACUCUCUUCCUUUUUUUUUUUUUUUUUUCCCUCCCCCAAAAGAAUUGAACAGCCAUCUUGCUUUGUAAGCCUCUCAUCAUUCUGAUCACUCUCAUAGAGUUCCUACUUGUUUUAUAUUUAAGAACACAUCUCAAACUCAAUGUUGUCUUGUUGACUGAGAUUCUACAAUUAUAGCUAAAAGAAUAACCCUUUUCUGAUGUACUUACUAAAAUAUUUUGCAGUGCCAUGUUGUUUUCCUUGCAACAACUUUAGCUGGCUGAUUUACUGAAUUUUUCGGUUCCCAAUGUCAGCAAAAUUAUUUUCUGCCAUACUGCUUCAUAUGUGCUUCUGUCUUAUAAAAGUAUAGUUUUAGUUCCUCUUUUAGCUUCCACCUUUUAUUUCUGGGCCAUCUCUUUGACGUACCAAUACCAUGUUGAUCUUUAGAGCUUCUAUAAAACCAUUCAAAACAUCUGCCUGCUUUUUCUGUACACAUCCAUCUCUUCCCUUCUUCCCAUAGGAUUGCUAACCAUGCUUGCUUCAGUUUAGGAUGAGACAUAUACAAUUAAUUUCUC